GACGAACGCUGGCGGCGUGCUUAACACAUGCAAGUCGAACGGAAAGGCCCUGCUUUUGUGGGGUGCUCGAGUGGCGAACGGGUGAGUAACACGUGAGUAACCUGCCCUUGACUUUGGGAUAACUUCAGGAAACUGGGGCUAAUACCGGUUAGGAGCUCCUGCUGCAUGGUGGGGGUUGGAAAGUUUCGGCGGUUGGGGAUGGACUCGCGGCUUAUCAGCUCGUUGGUGGGGUAGUGGCUUACCAAGGCUUUGACGGGUAGCCGGCCUGAGAGGGUGACCGGCCACAUUGGAACUGAGAUAAGGCCCAGACUCCUACGGGAGGCAGCAGUGGGGAAUAUUGCACAAUGGGCGGAAGCCUGAUGCAGCAACGCCGCGUGCGGGAUGACGGCCUUCGGGUUGUAAACCGCUUUCGCCUGUGACGAAGCGUGAGUGACGGUAAUGGGUAAAGAAGCACCGGCUAACUACGUG
rnacentral:rRNA from 1 species